AUUGAACGCUGGCGGCAGGCCUAACACAUGCAAGUCGAGCGAGCGGCGGACGGGUGAGUAAUGUAUGGGGACUGCCCGAUAGAGGGGGAUAACUACUGGAAACGGUAGCUAAUACCGCAUACUAUCGGAUAACCCAUAUGGGAUUAGCUAGUAGGUGAGGUAAUGGCUCACCUAGGCGACGAUCCCUAGCUGGUCUGAGAGGAGGAUCAGCCACACUGGAACUUGGACACGGCCCCGACUCCUACGGAGGCAGCAUUGGGGAAUAUUGCACAAUGGGCGCAAGUCGGAGUCAGCCAUGCCGCGUGUAUUCAGAAGGCCCUAGGGUUGUAAAGAACUUUCAGUCGGUAGGCGUUACCCCCAGAAGAAGCACCGGCUAACUCCGUGCCAGCAGCCGCGGUAAUAC
rnacentral:rRNA from 1 species